AUUUAGAUUGAUAAAAAAAUUCGGUGAUUUUUUGGAUAUUGCAUAAUUAGGACACCAUGUGAUUAAAUAAAUUGAAUUUCGUUUUUUUGGCCCAAUGACAUAGUUGUACACGAGUGUACCAGUUGUACCUAAAAACUUAGAUUCAUACAUGACACAAACUCUAAAAUA
rnacentral:sRNA from 1 species